AGGAGAGGAACAUCAGGACAUCUUUAGGGAGGGACGUCGUACUGGGUGCUAAGGUUUAGAUCAGUGAGUGGCCGGGAAGGCAGGGAGCAGAGAGGGCCCCGUCAGGAGCGUGUACUCCAAAGGCAGAAACUGUUUUUCACUUUGAAUUUUGUUUUUCUAGUGCCGGGGAUAGAACCCGGGGCCUCACGUGUGAUAGACAAGCAAUCUGCCGCUCAGCUACAGUCACAGCUCUUCCAGCUUCUCGGGUUCAAGCUUCAGCAUUGCCUUAGUGCUGGUGUUUGAGGAAGCAGUGUACGAAGAAGACCGAAGUGCCGUGGAGGAGGUGGCCUGACUCCACAGCAGUAUCAGAACGGUCCUGCGUAGGCCCAGAAGCCAUGACAUCGGGGCUCAAAUCUCACCGGCUCUGUGGAGCAUGUGGAGGUCCCUCGGCGGGUUCCAGCGUCCCUGAGCCACACUUCCUCAGCCGCAGGAUGGAGAUGAUAAUGCUGCAGUGGGCUUCAUGCAUUGGCCAUGAGAAUGAGUUAAUGUGUGCAAACAGGAAACAGAAAGAAGCUGGUGUGUGUGUGUGUGUGUGUGUGUGUGUGUGUGUGUGUGUGUGUGUCAAGAGCACAGAGGGCACAUAGGAUAAAGAAGCUGAGGCACAUACCCAGAGCCAAGAAGCCAGUACUCACCUCGUGUGGACUCUCCCCCAACAUUAGCUCUGUUCCUGGCCAGGUACCAAGCUUUGGCCAAUGGGGCUUUAGGGGCUUGAAAGUAGCAGGCCUGUUUUCUCCGAGUGCCGGGAACCCCACUGCUGAGUUCCACUUGGCUGUUCCCAUCUGAGGACUCCUGAGCCUCCGGCCAAUAGCUGAUAUCACCAUCAGGGUGUAGAAGACACCAUCUGGGGACUGGGUCUCCAGCCACAGUGAAGCAUGCAGUCCCAGCUGAUGCCAUGGGAGAUGGGAUCGAGCUGUCCCUAUUCUGGCUGCAGAAUCAUGAGGAAAUGUAAAGGUUACGACUUUGGGAAAAGUGGGCCCAGCUUGGACCAGUGGCAUCAACAUUAUCAGGGUUGCAGAAACUGCAUUUUGUCUAGAUCCCAGAGGACUUGCGUGCACAUAACAGCUGGAGGAGCCCUGCUGCUGGCGAGACCCUUGCCAGUGCCCUGCAAGCAGACAUGGUAUUGAGACCAUCUCACCAACAAUGCCUGCCUCACUGGGACCAGCUUUACAUCUCGCUGCUGCUUCUACGGGCACAGGAGGUCAGAGAAGUAUGGCUUCUCCCAGAGAAGAAGGAGACUAGCCAGGGGCUGAGCCUGAGAAGAUCGCUGGCUUUCGCUUUCAUCUCCCUUCAUCACCCCACGCUUCUUCUCUUCCUCACCGAAAUAGCCAUUCUCAAGUGUUUGAUGGGCGUCUUUUCAUUUGCAUGUGUUCCACAGAAUAUGUGAUGCUGUUUGAUGGGUACUUGAUUUUUUUUUUUAAAGAUUUAUUUACUUAUUAUGUAUACAGGAGAGGGUACCAGAUCUCAUUACAGAUGGUUGUAAGCCACCGUGUGGUUGCUGGGAAUUGAACUCAGGUACUCUGGAAGAGCAGUCAGUGCUCUUAACCUCUGAGCCACCUCUCCAGCCCCGGGGUACUUGCUUUUGAUUUGUGUAGAUAUGUCCCACUUUAGACCUCAUUUUAUGCCCUACCCCAUGCUGUAUUUUUGACAACUAACCAUGUUGCCAAGUGUGGUAAUUUGAAUGUAAUUGGUCCCCAUAAUCUCGUAGGGAAUGGCACUAUUAGGAGGUGCGGCUUUGUUGGAGUGGGUAUGGCCUUGUUGGAGGAAGUGUGUCACUGUGGGGGUGGGCUUUGAGAUUUCCUAUGCUCAAGAUACUGCCCAGUGUAACAAUCAACUUCCUGUUGCCUGCAAGAUGUAGGAUUCUCAGCAACUACUCCAUCACCACGUCUGCCUGUGCGCUGCCACAGUGAUAAUGGACUGAACCUCUGAAGCUGUGAGGGAGC